CCAGGCCACAAUGAUAUGUCUUUUCUGAUGUAUGUUAAUGGGGUGAAUAAUGAAGGCUCGUGAGGAUUGUUGAAUGUCUGGUUGGUCUGGGAGGAUCUAUAAAGGCCUGGAAGGGAGAGGCUCCAGAUGGAGGUUCUGUCUCAGGCGUGGUCCAGCCCUCGGUUGGUCCAGCCUCCAAAGAGUCAUAUUGGAAGGGAGCUUAGUUGAGUGUGAGCUUGAUGCAGAUCAACAGAAUUGGGUUGCCAUUCUUCCCGUUUUGGUAUGUACAAGAGUGUCGUAAGGUGAUGCUUGAGCAGCAUACCUGGAGCUGAUGUAUUUUGUCCAUGGUUCAUAUAGCCUGAGGCAGAAAUCAAGGUGGAAGGUGUAGAAGAUGUAGAUGCAAUAUAACAGGAGACUCCUCCUCCUGACUGGUGACUGGCGUAUUGCGUCAUUCUGUUCCUUGUUGCUGAACAGUGCACUGUGUGUUGUACCUCUCAAGAGUUUUCUCGCCGAUAGAUUAUUUUACUUCAAUAAGAUGUAGCAUGACUGGAAGUCUGUAAUCGUUACGCCUGGUUCACACAGGAAGCGCCACGCGCGGAACGGAAGCGCCGUGCGCGCGCAGCGCCGGCUCGCGCUUGGCUGUUCACACAGGAAGCGCUUUCUGCUGCGCUCUGACAUGCCGGUCAGACAUCGACUGAGCCCGGUAGUGCUCGGCCGUUUCCGUCUGCCCUCAGUUUUCCACACUUACGAGCGCUUUAAAAAUGGGUAAAUCACUAUUUAUUUACGUUUUUAUUUCGUCAUACAUGAUGAUUAUUAUAUAGGGGUAAACGACGAAUAAAUUGGGGAGUCUGUUGACUCCGUUGUAUGUAUAGCCUUGUUAGCUCGAGGCUAUUGACUGUAUCGUAAUAAAGUCCCCCCCUCUUUGUCUCAAUAACAUCACUGAAUCUCUGCAGCUCUCCCUCCGUGUGUGUGUGUUUGUGUGUGUGUGUUCAUCGGUAAAAAAAAUAGACUGACAAGCAACACCGUAAAUCCUUUUCUAAUUUAUUGAAAUUUACUUUAUUUUGAAAAUUGACCGGAUUCUCUCGCAUCUCCUUCCUGACUUCCUGUCUGGUCCGAUCUGCUCUGUUGAGCUUUACAUCGGCGCUCGCGGCUCGCGCCGAAAAUAGAGAGAAGCGGAGCAGCCGCGCUCCAGAGCGCGAGCCGUUCCGCGCGCGGCGCUUCCGCGCGCGUGCUGUGUGAACAGUCUCAUAGGUUAACAUGGGCGCCGAUCUGAAACUCUGUGCGCGGCGCUUCCGUUCCGCGCGCGGCGCUUCCAGUGUGAACCAGACGUAACGCCUGGUUCACACAGGAAGCGCCGCGCGCGCGGAACGGAAGCGCCGCGCGCGCGCGCAGCGCCGGCUCGCGCUUGGCUGUUCACACAGGAAGCGCUUUCUGCUGCGCUCUGACAUGCCGGUCAGACAUCGACUGAGCCCGGUAGUGCUCGGCCGUUUCCGUCUGCCCUCAGUUUUCCACACUUACGAGCGCUUUAAAAAUGGGUAAAUCACUAUUUAUUUACGUUUUUAUUUCGUCAUACAUGAUGAUUAUUAUAUAGGGGUAAACGACGAAUAAAUUGGGGAGUCUGUUGACUCCGUUGUAUGUAUAGCCUUGUUAGCUCGAGGCUAUUGACUGUAUCGUAAUAAAGUCCCCCCCUCUUUGUCUCAAUAACAUCACUGAAUCUCUGCAGCUCUCCCUCCGUGUGUGUGUGUGUGUGUGUGUGUGUGUGUGUGUGUCAUCGGUAAAAAAAAUAGACUGACAAGCAACACCGUAAAUCCUUUUCUAAUUUAUUGAAAUUUACUUUAUUUUGAAAAUUGACCGGAUUCUCUCGCAUCUCCUUCCUGACUUCCUGUCUGGUCCGAUCUGCUCUGUUGAGCUUUACAUCGGCGCUCGCGGCUCGCGCCGAAAAUAGAGAGAAGCGGAGCAGCCGCGCUCCAGAGCGCGAGCCGUUCCGCGCGCGGCGCUUCCGCGCGCGUGCUGUGUGAACAGUCUCAUAGGUUAACAUGGGCGCCGAUCUGAAACUCUGUGCGCGGCGCUUCCGUUCCGCGCGCGCGCGCUUCCAGUGUGAACCAGACGUAACGCCUGGUUCACACAGGAAGCGCCGCGCGCGGAACGGAAGCGCCGCGCGCGCGCGCAGCGCCGGCUCGCGCUUGGCUGUUCACACAGGAAGCGCUUUCUGCUGCGCUCUGACAUGCCGGUCAGACAUCGACUGAGCCCGGUAGUGCUCGGCCGUUUCCGUCUGCCCUCAGUUUUCCACACUUACGAGCGCUUUAAAAAUGGGUAAAUCACUAUUUAUUUACGUUUUUAUUUCGUCAUACAUGAAUUAAAUAUUGACAGCAUCUUCAAGUAAUGUUUUAAAUUAUUAUAUAGGGGUAAACGACGAAUAAAUUGGGGAGUCUGUUGACUCCGUUGUAUGUAUAGCCUCGUUAGCUCGAGGCUAUUGACUGUAUCGUAAUAAAGUCCCCCCCCCCUGUCUCAAUAACAUCACUGAAUCUCUGCAGCUCUCCCUCCGUGUGUGUGUAUGUGUGUGUGUAUGUGUGUGUGUGUGUGUGUGUGUGUGUGUGUGUGUGUGUGUGUGUGUGUGUGUGUUCAUCGGUAAAAAAAAAUAGACAGACAAGCAACACCGUAAAUCCUUUUCUAAUUUAUUGAAAUUUACUUUAUUUUGAAAAUUGACCGGAUUCUCUCGCAUCUCCUUCCUGACUUCCUGUCUGGUCCGAUCUGCUCUGUUGAGCUUUACAUCGGCGCUCGCGGCUCGCGCCGAAAAUAGAGAGAAGCGGAGCACCCGCGCUCCAGAGCGCGAGCCGUUCCGCGCGCGGCGCUUCCGCGCGCGUGCUGUGUGAACAGUCUCAUAGGUUAACAUGGGCGCCGAUCUGAAACUCUGUGCGCGGCGCUUCCGUUCCGCGCGCGGCGCUUCCAGUGUGAACCAGACGUUAGUCAGGAUCCGGCACAGUACCUCAGAGAGGGACUGAAAGACCUUGGGGCCAAGUGAGGCACAGUGCAAAAUAUUAGGCUCCUUUCCAGCAGACUCCAAAGUUACACCAGAAGUUGGUGUGUAUGGGUAGCACUUUGAAUGCACUUGUGGUGUCUGCCUUAGAAAGCCAGGCUCCUGUGCCUGCCAGAAGGAUGAGUGAUGGCAUGAUCAAUUGAUGCAUAUUGCAUAAAAAAAAUCUGUGCAUGGAAUGAUACUGUUGAUGCUGGAUGUGUGACCCAUGUGGGGAGGAGAGGUCUGUGAUCAGCACCUUAUUUGCCAUGGUAUUUCCAGGUUACAGGGGGAAAG